GGAGAAACUGCGCUUGCCAAAGAGCAGGCUCAGGGUGGAUGAGGACGACGACACCUAUUGAGAAACGUAGACAUGUGGCGUGAGUAACGCGGACCAGGUCAUCUCCACUGCGCAGGGAACUGGAUUUGCAACAUGCGAACUUGAUGGGUCGCGGGUACGAAGAGAUGAAGAUGGCGCUGCCAAGAAAGGGCGCCAGCGGAGUAUAAAAGAUGGUGGUGAUCAGCGUCUGCAGCAGCAGCAUGGCCGAGUCUGUUCACACGCCAGUCAAGGACAAAGCUGCGGAUAUAGCAGUGAGCUGACACACGCGCAGAGGUGACUGGAGAGGAUACGAGGUGUGAUGGCUCACCUUGUGGAAGACGAUGGACACGAUGAAGAAGUCGAGUAGGAAGCUCUCGGAGGCACUCGGGCAGUCAAAGUGGAAGAAAACCAGCGUGAAAAGCAAGG